GGCCGGCGACCGGCUCCGGCUCGUGUCGCCGCCGUGUCUUUCCAUCAACACGUCGCUUGGUCGCUCGGUCGUGUUCCGACCCGACCCGACCCGACCCGACCCAACCCACAAAACCAAAACCAAAACCAAAAACCCUAUCCAUCCCCUCUCUCAGCUCACCCUCCUUCCGCCGCCGGCGACGAGCUGCGCGCUGCCGUGAGGUCCAGCACGCCGCCCGCCUGCCUAUUCACCGGCGCGCAGCCGACCACAACCUAAGCUUCGCCCAUAUCUUCUCCCUCGAUUCGCCGCCGCCGCGAUGCAGCUCUCCUCCCUUGGUCGCCCCCACGGCAAACCCUGGGUUCGCCGGCGCGGCCGCCUCCUAACGUCGUCUACGACCCCGCUCCGAUCUCCGGUACCAUCGCUACUCCAGCCCGACGCCUGCCUGCGACCACCUCCAGGCUCCCCUGCUCGCCUCCCCUCAAUGUCCCCGCACGGUCUGCUCGGCUGCUCCAGAUCGCCAGUGUGGUGGUGCUGCUUCUGCUGCUCCACUACUACUACUACCUCGGCUACCUCCAUGACGGUCAGGUACAACUUCGGUUCCCCCAUGCCCUCUGUGUUGAUCCGGCCACUGUGCCGUGCCCACUUCUUGUUCUAGGUCUCUGCUGGUUCAUGUUAGUUCUACCAUGAUAGAAUUAUUAUAAGCAGCUUAGGUUGUGCUGAUGUUCAUACACCAACCUCCGUGCUGCCUGGACGUCUCGCGCCGCAGCUCAACUGCGACGUAAUCGCUCGCACAUGGCCCCAACUCCACCGCCACUUCAGCCGAAUGUGUGUGACGACCACGGCUGCGCGUGCGACCUCACACAGUCUCUGCAUUGUCCAGUGUCCCAGCAGCGACCGCAACACAUGACUCUGCUCCAUGUUGCCGACCACCCGUUCGACUGAAAGGAAGCUCACAAGGCAAUAUCACCCAGCGUGCCAUUUGUUGCCUAUCGGGCUACUCACAUAACCUCAUCAUGCCUACUGACUAGCAUUGCAGGUUUUUGCGAUUUCUUUUUACCUUCUAGAUACUUAUGCCUGCCAGGCUAUGAGGAGGUCGGUGGUGGCGUGCCGGAUGGAGCAGGAGACGAACCGCUUCGGCGGUGGCGGCGGGUGGGGGAAGACGAUGAGGAUGCGGUCGCCGCGACCAGUCUGGGGGAGAUGGAGAUCGGGCACCCCCGUCGACCGCUUCGACGGCUUCCUCGACCUCCCUGUCGAGUUCGAGGUGGAGAUGCCUCCCCGCGUCCUCAGCGCCAGCUUCUGCAAAUUGUGCUGAAUUGUCUCCGGUGAAUGUCUCCGAUGAAGCAGCUCAUGAGUUCUUGGCCGCUUGCUUGAUGUUCGAUCUGAGAACAUAUGUUGCACAGUGGAGACUAUAGAUCCUUUCUCGCUCUCAACUGAAACCUGGCAGCUGCUACAAAAACUCGGGUGCAAGUGCUGGAAGCACCAAAACAGGAAGAGGUGGUGAUUCAGAAGGUCAAUCCGCAAGUGGCAACUAAGAAGGUAACUCAGUGCUCUGCUCCUUUGUAGUUCAAUGAAACUUGCCGAGAAAGAUGUUUGUUUCUUCCUAGACACAAAAUGAUCUGAGAAUCUUGUUGCAUUGUUUCUUCCUAGACACAAAAUGAUCUGGAAAGAUGCUUGUUUCUUCCUAUAUCGUGUCACCCUGUAAUAUACUUGAAUAGAAAACACACUUUUCUGUGGAGAAAAGAGAGGGGGGAAAUUGGGAAAGCAUGCUAAACCAUCUGAAUUGGGGAAGGUUCUUCUCAUCCCAGUGAUGAGAAUCAUCUUCUCUGAAACCAAUCCUUUGCAUCUUGCACAACCUAUGCUAAGCUACAAGAAGCAUCCAUCUGUCACUGCAUGCGUUAGUUUUUCCUUGCAUACAGGCUUCUUGCAUUGCGCAUCAAACUGGUCGGUUGUGAACCAACAAUUUUUCUUUAACUAAUACCAUAGCUGGAUUUGCUGUAAGACCCAUAUUGCCUAUUCUGUUAUUAAUAGCUGGCAGUGAUCGCUUCAACAUGUAGGUCGACCUAUGUAUGGGAGCAAUCCAGAGACAAGAAAACAACCAACAACCAGCAUAUAAUAAGAUUGAUACACCUUGUGAUUACUUGUUGCUUUCUUUGUACAGAAUAUAAUGAAUAUUAAUGGACACCAAUUCAGACCAUAAAUAUACAAUUGCUUAAUGUCAUAUAUAAUACAUAGGACACAGUUACAACUUACAACACAUAAGACAUAAUUACAUAGGCUGCCUCCACUCGUGUAUCUCAUGCUGGGAUGGUAGUUUCACAACAAUCUCUUGAUUUAAACUGCUGAUUCAAUGUCUUUUAGAGAUGAGGUCUGAUGGGUCGUCCAACCAUGUCGCAUACAAACUUCCUGGAAUUAUUGUCUCAUUAUCCACAAUGACUCGAGGGCCUGUCCGGCGUGCUUUUAUCUUUAUAUUGCGCUCCUUCAUCUUGUUAUCCUUUUUCUGUUCCUCCUCUUGCUUGUUCAAUGAAUCCAAUGCCGCCUCAUGAUUUGCUAUAAUCUCCAAGCUUUUCCGGUAGUAUGUACCGUCAAAUGCUAGAAUCAUUGGUAGAUUUCCCUCUCUUUGUAGCUUCACUUUUCCCAUAUGUUUUAUGUCGUAUGUGUUAUCUCCUUCAACUCUCUUUGUAUGCUUUCAAUGCGAUGUAUGUUGCGAAUCUGUGACUAUCAGGUAGCUCUCUACGUUGUGCAUGUGCAGCAGGUAUUUCUACAUCUUCGGCUUCAGGCAUUUCUACAUCUUCGGCUUCAGGCAUUUCUACAUCUUCAGCUUCAGGCAUUUCCACAUCUUCGGCUUCGAGUAUUUGUACAUCUUCAGCUUCAGGCAUUUCCACAUCUUCGGCUAUAGGCAUUUCUACAUCUUCUUCUUCUUCCUCAUGCGGACUAAAGUUAAGGUCCAAAUAAAUCACCACUUGUGGAGGCAAGUUGAGAUCGAGCUUCACAGUGGGAGCUGGAGGGGAAGAUGCAAGUAAUGGCAAAUCUGCAAUUGGCGGUGACAGCUGCUACUAGUGCUCUGGUUCCAUCUAUAACUUUGUAUAUGACCAGAUAUACAUGCUGAUCAACAAGGUAGAGCAAGGAUGGAAGCAUCGAGCAAACCUUCCAAGGAACCAGCAGGGCAUGUGGCGAGCGGCUGUGCUCCCUGGAGCCGCAGGUGCUUCUGCACGAGUGCUCCAGUGUUGGCUACGUACGUCUGCACGCUGCCGAUGUCCAGCAUGAUGCCCGGAUCACGUCGUGGAGGCCCUGCGUCGGAGGCCCCGCCUCUUCUACUCUGGAUUUCACGGGGGUACAGGCUCACCGUCGACGUCGAGCGCGCGAGCACAGCUCCGGCGCGGGACAGGGACGGAGCUCCGGCGUGGGAAGGGAAUGUCGGCUUCCUUUGCUCCUGGAGGCCCCACCUCCUCUGGUACUGGAGCGGUC